rnacentral:rRNA from 1 species
GUGGGGAAUAUUGGACAAUGGGGGGAACCCUGAUCCAGCCAUGCCGCGUGUGUGAAGAAGGCCUUUUGGUUGUAAAGUACUUUAAGCGAGGAGGAGGCUACCGAGAUUAAUACUCUUGGAUAGUGGACGUUACUCGCAGAAUAAGCACCGGCUAACUCUGUGCCAGCAGCCGCGGUAAUACAGAGGGUGCAAGCGUUAAUCGGAUUUACUGGGCGUAAAGCGCGCGUAGGUGGCCAAUUAAGUCAAAUGUGAAAUCCCCGAGCUUAACUUGGGAAUUGCAUUCGAUACUGGUUGGCUAGAGUAUGGGAGAGGAUGGUAGAAUUCCAGGUGUAGCGGUGAAAUGCGUAGAGAUCUGGAGGAAUACCGAUGGCGAAGGCAGCCAUCUGGCCUAAUACUGACACUGAGGUGCGAAAGCAUGGGGAGCAAACAGGAUUAGAAACCCGGGUAGUCC